rnacentral:rRNA from 1 species
AUACGUAGGUGGCAAGCGUUGUCCGGAUUUAUUGGGCGUAAAGCGCGCGCAGGCGGUUCUUUAAGUCUGAUGUGAAAGCCCCCGGCUCAACCGGGGAGGGUCAUUGGAAACUGGGGAACUUGAGUGCAGAAGAGGAAAGUGGAAUUCCACGUGUAGCGGUGAAAUGCGUAGAGAUGUGGAGGAACACCAGUGGCGAAGGCGACUUUCUGGUCUGUAACUGACGCUGAGGCGCGAAAGCGUGGGGAGCAAACAGGAUUAGAUACCCUGGUAGUCCACGCCGUAAACGAUGAGUGCUAAGUGUUGGAGGGUUUCCGCCCUUCAGUGCUGCAGCUAACGCAUUAAGCACUCCGCCUGGGGAGUACGGUCGCAAGACUGAA